rnacentral:lncRNA from 1 species
GCUGUGAUAGCAAGCCAAUGCCCUGCUGAAACUGAAGGGAGGCCAGAGCUGGCUUUGGAAAGAUGGUGUUCUGGGAGAUGCAGAAAUAAUCUCCGGACAUCCCCAAACCUGUGGUUACUGCCAAGCCUCGGGAAGAGUUCUGCCAUGGAGGCUUUGUCCCCCCUCUCAGGCAGCGAUUUUGGGGUCCUGGUGAAUACCUCCUGCUCUUUCUAAAAACCUUUCAGUGAUAUAGUCCUGCAAAAUCCUUUCUACUCCUUUCCAAAGCUUCUGAGAAACUAUGGAGAUGCCACCUCUGCAGAACCCGAUGUCCUUCCCAGUUUGUCACGAUUCAAGGAGAAAGUAGUGGCUUAAAUAUUCUUACUUGAAUUUCUAGAAUACGUCUCAGAUGACCGAACUUAACAAACAACCGCUUUUUUGAAACCUUUUCAAACUGUUUAGAAAUGCCUUCUCUUUGUCACCGAUGAUCAAACUGACAGAAAUAUUGCUUAUUUUAAAAGGAACUUAUUUUCAAUUUGGUCCUCUGCAUUUCUAUCCAUUCCUAGUAUUCUUUAUGCUUAGGCCAUAAUGGUCUCAGAGUUCUAAUACUAUAGGCCAUCUGCAAAGCAGUCUGCAGGCAGAAAGCUCAGAGAGAACCUGUUGGCAAAGGGUGGAUCUCCAGUGGCCUUUUCUCCACUAUAUGGUUUCCUACAACAAAGACAUUUAUCAACUAUGUCUCCCUUGUGAGGAUUUUGGCUUCACCAGAAAGGUGUCUCUUACAUACCAUGGGCACGAUCUGAAGUCCACAGAGCAAACUGGACUCAGUCAAAUGUGCUUUCGAUCAAGUCCUGCAUGCCCAGGUUAUCUGCCACUCACUAUUAGUAAAAUUCCAUUUCUGCCAUGAUUGAUUCUUGUAGCCCAUCUUCCUUCCAUAAAAUUGUUAGUUAAUUUUUCCAGUACUUAAAGUUAUCUUUCACGUUUCUCAUAUUGUAUAGUGAGUUAACUCACAUUAACUUUAAGCUUAGUGAUCACAAACGGACACAGCUCACUUGAUC